rnacentral:tRNA from 1 species
GUCAGGAUGGCCGAGUGGUCUAAGGCGCCAGACUCAAGGUUAAACCUUCUCACUUAAUGAGGCUUCUGGUCUCCGAAUGGAGGCGUGGGUUCAAAUCCCACUUCUGACA